GGAGUGGUCCAAGAGAGAGUUCUGAGAGAGCUAUACGCUUCAUUCCACCCCUCUGCUCCUCUCUUUAAGUGUUUAACCGUAUUUUUUUUGACCUCAUAUGAUUUUUUGUGUCACAUUGUAGGUAAAUGCCAUCUUUUUACUCCCAUAUUUUUUUUACAGCAUAAAUGGACAUUAGCACAGCUUUCACAUGAUGUACAUGUGUUAGAAGUCUCCAGCUCCUUAUAUAAGAAUGGAGAUUGGAGAACAUGAGGAGCGGGACAGUAGUGGAGUGGCCUCCUUCCAAGUCCAUGUCAUGCCUUUCCACAGCUUUCUUGAACUUCUCUUGAGCUUUCCUCACCAGAGAGAAAGAGGAGGACAAGAAGAGGGUCAAGAAAGCUGUGGGAAGUGAUGGCAGAUCAGGACUUCUGUGCAUUUCGGUGCUCUCUUAAGCAGUUCCAUCUGAGGAAAUUAAGUAGCUGUCUCAUAUCUUUGGAAGCUAGGAAACCUUGAUGGGGACAUUUCAGGGAAAUUAAAAAGCUCAUCACGAGAAGAUUGUAGAUAUGGCUUGCAAACAAAAUGGAGCCUAAGAGCCAACUAAUGCUUUAAUGUUCUUUUUGAGCAUAAUCAGGUCUUCAUUUUUUUAACUUGAUAUUUUCUUUUUCUUCUGUUUUUUUUUCAUUAAACAAUCAAAUUGCCUUACACUUUUUUUAUGUUACUAUUGUUUUUCAAAGAGAAUAAUUACACGCACGCUCACACAUACACAAACUUUCUUUCAUAAUGCUCAAACUAGGUUUUAGCAUGGAUCUACGCGUGUGAGCUUCUUAAUAGGCUGAGAUUGAGAUGCAUAUCUUAUAAUUCAAUUGAGCUUUCUUUCACACAACUAUACUCUUGUAUCUUCCUUGCAUCCAAGGGGAUACAAUCUUUAAUUAAGAAAAGGAAAGAAGAGCGACGUUCUGAAGGCUUGGGAUUUGGGAUUGGCCAAUUCCAAAUCUCAUGACUUCACCUUUAUUCACAAGCAAAGAGAGAAGGCAGCUUAUCUCACAUACAUUUCACCUUUUUCUUUUAGAAAGCUUUGUCUCCAUUUUCUCAUGACAGGUGCUGGAAGUCCAGAAGGAGUUAAAUUUCUUUAAUUGCUUCAAGGUUAAUACUGGUUAAAGAUGGCUGUGGAUCAACCUUGGAAUCAGAGGUUCCUGCCAUUUUAACCUACCAAUGCAAGGAUGCCUUUUUAUCUUGAAAAGGAUUAAAUGUUCCAUAAGAGCUGGUCCGGUUCAGUCAACAUUGGUCCGGUUCAUUCAAUUGGCUGUGAAAUCAGGUAUUGGGCCUGUGUGUGUGCAUGUGCGAGUGUUGUAGAGAGAGGAGUGGGUUGGAGGGAUUUGGUUUGGCUUGGUGUGAUACAUGAACACAAUCCAUAAGAACAUGUUGUAGCUCGUUUUAGCAUGUAACCAUGCAUAGAAAUCUAAGAACUUAAGAGUUAUCGACAAUGCAAAUCCAAGUGCUGCCACAAAAAAAAAGGUGAAAAUUGACUUGGCUAGCCAACUGCAGAACCAUGAUGAUAACUUCCUUAGCUUUUAAUCAAAUAUCAAGUAGGGGAAAAAUGUUAUAAUCAUUAACAUAUACCACUUUAAUUACCAAGAAACAAAAACAAGGAAGAAAAACAUAAAUUGAACAUUUUUUAACAUAAAUUAGACAUUUUUAAAGUAGAGGAUAGAAGAUCAUUUAAUUGUGUGAGAGAGAGAGAGAGAGAGAGAGAGACCAACAAAACUAUAUAGUGCAGACUCUUUAGGGAGUUAAAUUGGUCUUGAAAAAUAUUGCUUGACCAUAUUAUAAUUGGAUAUUUUCCUCAAAAAAUUGUAAAAUUAAUUGGAUGCAAUUUGUAUUGCAAAUGAUGAUUUAAAUUAUUUUUAUUAUGAUUGCUACAUAAUAUAUAGAUGGUUUAUCCUUGUAAAAUUGGACGCAAUUUGCAAAUGAUUUAACUUGUUUUUGUUAUGAUUAUUGAAUCAUAUAUGGUGCAUAGUAUCGCCCUUGCAUCCUAUUUGAGCAUAGCAUACAAUUUUCUAUUUAUGCAUGAUGUUGGCCCCUCCACAUGGUUUUGUCAUAUUGCUAGGUGUAACGCACAUGGGAGGCUGCAAUUGCAGUUCUCUACAAUUUAAACAUGUCCCCUACUAGUUAUUAAGUUCGGUACUCUAUGAUCAAAAGCUCUUAUCUUUUCUUGACCAACGGUCUCUAGCAUAAUCUCAAUUGUUAAGAAGCUUGAGAAGAGGAACAUGAUAGCAUUUCAGUUGCGUAAGCUAUAGAGUACAAGUUUGUGAAAGAUAUAUGGAGAAAAUUUUCAACAUAAGCUCAAGGUAUACUUUCUCCCCUCUUCUUUCUUACUUCUAUAUAUAGAUUGGAGGAAAGCUAGUAUCAAGAAAAUUGUAGAUACAGUGCUUAUUUGUUGGAGUAUUAGGUUAGAAAGAAAAUCAAAUA